GAUGAACGCUGGCGGCGUGCCUAAUACAUGCAAGUCGAGCGAAUGGAUUAAGAGCUUGCUCUUAUGAAGUUAGCGGCGGACGGGUGAGUAACACGUGGGUAACCUGCCCAUAAGACUGGGAUAACUCCGGGAAACCGGGGCUAAUACCGGAUAACAUUUUGAACCGCAUGGUUCGAAAUUGAAAGGCGGCUUCGGCUGUCACUUAUGGAUGGACCCGCGUCGCAUUAGCUAAUUGGUGAGGUAACGGCUCACCAAGGCAACGAUGCGUAGCCGACCUGAGAGGGUGAUCGGCCACACUGGGACUGAGACACGUCCCAGACUCCUACGGGAGGCAGCAGUAGGGAAUCUUCCGCAAUGGACGAAAGUCUGACGGAGCAACGCCGCGUGAGUGAUGAAGGCUUUCGGGUCGUAAAACUCUGUUGUUAGGGAAGAACAAGUGCUAGUUGAAUAAGCUGGCACCUUGACGGUACCUAACCAGAAAGCCACGGCUAACUACGUGCCAGCCGCCGCGGUAA
rnacentral:rRNA from 1 species